UACAGAGGGUGCAAGCGUUGUUCGGAAUUAUUGGGCGUAAAGGGAGUGUAGGCGGUUUGCUAAGUCUUCUGUGAAAUCUACGGGCUCAGCCUGUAACGUGCAGAGGAAACUGACAGACUUGAGUGUCGGAGAGGAUAGUGGAAUUCCUGGUGUAGCGGUGAAAUGCGCAGAUAUCAGGAGGAACACCGGUGGCGAAGGCGGGUCUCUGGGCCGAUAUUGACGCUGAGGAGCGAAAGCGUGGGGAGCGAACAGG
rnacentral:rRNA from 1 species